AUACGUAGGUGACAAGCGUUAUCCGGAUUUACUGGGCGUAAAGGGCGUGUAGGCGGUCUUGCAAGUCAGAAGUGAAAUUCCUGAGCUCAACUCGGGCGCUGCUUCUGAAACUGCAGGACUUGAGUGCUGGAGGGGAUAGCGGAAUUCCUAGUGGAGCGGUAAAAUGCGCAGAUAUUAGGAAGAACACCGGUGGCGAAGGCGGCUAUCGGGGCAGUAACUGACGCGGAGGCGCGAAAGCGUGGGGAGCAAACAGGAUUAGAUACCCUGUUAGUCCACGCCGUAAACGAUGAAUACUAGGUGUAGGGGGUAUCGACUCCCUCUGUGCCGCAGUUAACACAAUAAGUAUUCCGCCUGGGGAGUACGGCCGCAAGGUUGAAACUCAAAUGAAUUGACGGGG
rnacentral:rRNA from 1 species